GCAAACUUGGUCAUUUAGAGGAAGUAAAAGUCGUAACAAGGUUUCCGUAGGUGAACCUGCGGAAGGAUCAUUAUUGAAUAAAACUUGGUUAGGGUUGUUGCUGGCUCUUCGGAGCAAUGUGCACGCCUUACACCAUUUUUUCAAUUCCACCUGUGCACUUUGCGUAGACUUUGGACAAGACCAUAUCGUAGAUCUCUACGGAUUGAGAAUUGCUGUGCUUUACAAAGGCAAGCUUUUCUUGUGCUUUCCAGGUCUAUGUUUUUAUUACACAAACUCUGAAUGUACUUUGAAUGUUUUUACAUAAGAGGCACUGGUUGUCCUUAUAUAAAUUGAAAUACAACUUUCAACAACGGAUCUCUUGGCUCUCGCAUCGAUGAAGAACGCAGC
rnacentral:misc_RNA from 1 species